CUGGUCACGUGGAGAACGGCGUUUGUCUGACGGCUGUCAAACAGGCUGACGGGGCGGAGGGCGGCGAGGCCACGGACAACGAGGACGACACAGACACGCAGAGCUAGCGACACUACCAGUCGCCGGGAGGCGGCGGUCCACUCGGCGGCGAGCGACGAGACGAGCCUGCUGUGGAUGAAUUCGAAACUAUGGGGCCCCGGCUGUGCCCAGGCGUCCCACGGCAUGCGCAUGGGACGCGUUGAGUUUGUUGCUGGUGAAAUGUCGCACGCGGUGGCGCUGUCUUUGUGCACGUUGCGUGCUUUUAGCGUCGGUUGAGGCCGUCUUUUACUGGCGUUCCACCCACGGUUCGCCGCCUGGUAUGGGACAGGGCGGUACAAAAUGCCUGUACAAUACAUGUUUGGUGCCCGCA